CUGGGAGACUUCUAAAUGAGGGCACACAUCAAAGACAAAGGACAUGAAGGAGGAACUGAAACGAGGAGUGAAGAGCAAGAGGAAGAGCAUGAGCAAGAAGAAGAGGAAGAUUACCGCCUUGCUGUCGUUGCCGUACAGCAGCAGGCCGGCCUUGGUGACGGUGGCGGCCCGGCUGGCUCCGGGGAUCUGCAGCGGCUGGCCGGUAGCUAUGGAGCCAUUAUCCACCAGAGUGGAGCCGUAGAAAGUCACUUUCUAUAGAAAGAGAGACACCAAACAGCACAACUUUGAGAGAACUGAUGGUUGUGUAUUACCUUGGCGUUGUCUUUCUUCUGAAUGCACUCAUAUGUGGCUCCCUCCUGUGGCUGGCUGAUCCUCGGGGCCUUCCCUUCCGCUAUCAGCCUCACCGCCUCCACCUGGAACCAGAACAAUGCAGUUCCAGUCAGCGGAGCUAACAUGUGUGUUAUCUGUAUGGAUUUUGCCAUCACUGUGUUGUUAUGUUGGUUGAACUGACUGUAGGCAACUGAAGAACAUAUUUUUCUUUACCUACAUGUUAUCAUGGUAAUAGCUCGAACCUGGAUUCACAUAUUAGUGUACUUAAUGAAAAGACACUCAGUACUUUGACUCUUUCAUCAGGCCAAGAUGGUCAACAGCUGUUUUUGUUCAUUUUGCUAUUUAAAGCUUUAGUGCGUAACUUUUUGAUAUUAAUGAACGUCCGUUACA